rnacentral:rRNA from 1 species
UUUUUAUAGAAUUUUAUUUUUUAGUCAAAAAGCUAAAAUAAAUUUAAAAGACGAGAAGACCCUAUAAAUCUUUAUAUUUUAUUUAUUUUAAUUAAAAAGAUUAAUUUUAUUAUAAUAAUUUAAAAUAUUUUAUUGGGGUGAUAUUAAAAUUUAAAAACUUUUAAUUUUUAAAACCAUUAAUUUAUGAAUAAUUCAUCCAUUAAUAAUGAUUAAAAAUUUAAGUUACUUUAGGGAUAACAGCGUAAUUUUUUU